CACGGGGGGAGCAAGCGUUGUUCGGAAUCACUGGGCGUAAAGGGCGUGUAGGCGGUCAGGUAAGUGAGACGUGAAAUGCCCCGGCUUACCCGGGGACCUGCGUCUCAUACUGCUUGGCUUGAGUACGGGAGAGGGUGUGGGAAUUCCUGGUGUAGCGGUGAAAUGCGUAGAUACCAGGAGGAACACCGGUGGCGAAGGCGCACACCUGGCCCGAUACUGACGCUGAGGCGCGAAAGCUAGGGGAGCAAACGGG
rnacentral:rRNA from 1 species